GACGAACGCUGGCGGCGUGCUUAACACAUGCAAGUCGAACGGACAGGCCCUGCUUUUGUGGGGUGCUCGAUUGGCGAACGGGUGUGUAACACGCGUGUAACCCGUCCUUGACUUUGGGAUAACUUCUGGAAACUGCGGCUAAUACCGCAUAUGAGCUCCUGCUGCACGUUGGUGGUUGGAAAGUUUCGGCGGUUGGGGCUGGACUCGCGGCUUAUCAGCUUGUUGGUGGGGUAGUGGCUUACCCAGGCUUUGACGGGUAGCCGGCCUGAGCGGGUGACCGGCGACAUUGGGACUGAGGUACGGCCCAGACUCGUACGGGAGGGAGCAGUGGGGAAUAUUGCAGAAUGGGCGGAAGCCUGGUGCAGCAGCGCCGCGUGCGGGAUGACGGCCUUCGGGGUGUAAACCGCUUUCGCCUGUGACGAAGCGUGAGUGACGGUAAUGGGUAAAGAAGCACCGGCUAACUACGUG
rnacentral:rRNA from 1 species